GUUUAGUUUGUUGAGACUAAUUCAGAGUGGGAGUGUGGUCAGUGCUAUAAAACAUAGGAAUUUGUUUUGGGUUUUAUUUAAACGGUGACAGUGUUUGUUUAGAGGAUAAUUUGAAAAUGGCGUGAUGUGACAAUCUGUUAAAAUAGGUAACGUGAGUGAGACCAUCUUAUUGCAGAAACCUCACGUGGAAGGCAGUGCAUCAGAAUAUUUUACAGGAUACAAUCUGCUAAAAGCUUUGAAACCUACAUAGAAGAAAUGGGUAUUAACACACAUGCAGCUGAAGCAUCCCUGCAACUUUGUUAAAAGUGGAAUUUGAAGCAAUCCUUUCAGAAAUGCACUCUGUACAGUUAAUGCAUACUCUUGGAUGUGUCUGACUUGCAUUUUGAGCCCGUUUGAAGGAACAUUAUUAAGGAAUUGAUUUAUGUCCUUUCAGUUUUGGAUAUUUUUUUAAACCCUGACAUAGAACAUUGACGAACUGUGUCUGAUCACUGGUUUUAGAAUUUUCUAAAGAACAAAAUGAAGUACAGGUGACUUGACAGCUGUACAUAAGCAGGAGGGAACAGAUGGUCUUACCUGCUUUUUGCAUUUUUACUCAAAGUAGGAUAGUCUUUGGUCUAUUCCAUGAAAGUACUGUAAAUUGUCUUGGUCUUAAAAAAAAAUUACAUUAGUAUUGAUGUUUUUUGAGGAAUUGACCUUUCUGGAGCUUUCCUUUAAAGUUAUAAACUGUAUGUCGCAUGUGUCUUCUGAAGAUGAAGGGAUCUGUUAAAGAGCAGCAGAAACGUCCACAGAUUAUUCACAGUGGUCACUUCAUGGUUUCUGAACCACAUACAGACCCAGAUCCUACACUGACUGGACUUGAGGUACAAGAG